AGUGAACGCUGGCGGCGUGCUUAACACAUGCAAGUCGAACGAGAACGGAUUAUAGCUUGCUAUAAUUGUCAGCUAAGUGGCGCACGGGUGAGUAAUGUAUAGGUAAUAUGCCUCUUACUAAGGGAUAACAAAUGGAAACGUUUGCUAAUACCUUAUACUCCUUAUUAACAGAAGUUAAUAAGGGAAAGAUUUAUUGGUAAGAGAUUAGCCUGUAUUGUAUCAGUUAGUUGGUGGGGUAAUGGCUUACCAAGACUAUGACACAUAACUGGUUUGAGAGGAUGAUCAGUCACACUGGAACUGAGACACGGUCCAGACUCCUACGGGAGGCAGCAGUGGGGAAUAUUGCACAAUGGACGGAAGUCUGAUGCAGCAACGCCGCGUGGAGGAUGACACAUUUCGGUGCGUAAACUCCUUUUAUAUGAGAAGAUAAUGACGGUAUUAUAUGAAUAAGCACCGGCUAGCUCCGUGCCAGCAGCCGCCGCAG
rnacentral:rRNA from 1 species